rnacentral:rRNA from 1 species
CUAAGAGUUUGAUCCUGGCUCAGAUUGAACGCUAGCGGGAUGCUUUACACAUGCAAGUCGAACGGCAGCGCGGACUUCGGUCUGGCGGCGAGUGGCGAACGGGUGAGUAAUGUAUCGGAACGUGCCCAGUAGCGGGGGAUAACUACGCGAAAGCGUAGCUAAUACCGCAUACGCCCUUUGGGGGAAAGCGGGGGACCUUCGGGCCUCGCACUAUUGGAGCGGCCGAUAUCGGAUUAGCUAGUUGGUGGGGUAAAGGCCUACCAAGGCGACGAUCCGUAGCUGGUUGAGAGGACGACCAGCCACACUGACAAGAACCCCCACC